rnacentral:rRNA from 1 species
CAUGAGUUCGAGGUGGACGAGGAUGGUGAGGGCAUCGUCGACGCACCGAAAAGAAGAGGAGGCAACUACACCAAUGAUGAAGAUAUCUUGCUAUGCAAUACUUGGUUGCAAGUGUCGAGGGAUCCAUCCGUUGAAGGUGAUCAAAGUAGAGAUGCAUAUUGGAACUGGAUGAAGGAGCACUUUGAUCUCACAACAAGAGUGCAAUUGACCGCUCGGAACGGUCUCUUCGCUCCCGGUGGUCGAAAAUCAACCGGGAUUGUCAAAAGUGGGCGGCCGCACAAAAGGCUGUUGACAAGGUGA